ACCACCAACAGAAAACUGACAAUUUGGAAAAGCUGCUAAGGCCACAAUGGUUCAGCGCAAAAGGCGAAUUCGGGAAUAGUGUGCGCGGGACAGAGAGACCGACAGCAGGUUGAAGCAGAUUGAGGAGGGAUACCGGCACAUGCUUGCCAAGUCUUCAGAGGAUGGCUGCGGUGUCCAGAGGGUGCAGUACUCCACUGAGGAUAGAAGUGGAGAAACCAAUGCUGGAUGCACACACUACCCCCCAGGAGGACAGAACAAGACACCCUGUAUCAGCCAUGAUGAUCACCCAGGACUGCGCUUGUUCUUCCUCCACAUAUACACAGAGCACAAGAGCCUCCACCCCACAGCCCCACACUGGGGGUGUUUUGUUCCGAGUCUGAAGCCCGUCAAACCCGGGACGCCCCUUAACCGCCACGUGGGUCACAAAAGCCUUCCUGUUUACCGAGUCAACAACAACAGCAAAUCACAUGCUAAUGAAUCCAUACAUUCCGGGCUACAUGGCCCAUCAAAGAUUCAUGAUAUUCUCCAGCGUAUGACACAGAAUUCUGAAAAUGGAAUACAUAUUAAACCCUGGUGCUGA
rnacentral:lncRNA from 1 species